UACUGGAGAGUCCCGUUGAACGGGCGCCGAAGGUGUAAAACCGGUCAAAAUAUGAAGAAGAGCGCCUUGGCCGGUCAAUCUCUCAGGCAAAAGGACAGGAGA
rnacentral:ncRNA from 1 species